GGUUGUGUGGCCUAAUGGAUAAGGCGCUUGACUUCGAAUCAAGAGAUUGGGAGUUCGACCCUCUCCACAACCU